rnacentral:rRNA from 1 species
UACGGAGGAUGCGAGCGUUAUCCGGAUUUAUUGGGUUUAAAGGGUGCGUAGGCGGUCCGGAGAGUCAGCGGUAAAAGCCCGGGGCUCAACCCCGGCGAGCCGUUGAAACUGUCGGACUAGAGACGGCGAGAAGUACGCGGAAUGCGCGGUGUAGCGGUGAAAUGCAUAGAUAUCGCGCAGAACUCCGAUUGCGAAGGCAGCGUACCGGCGCCGGACUGACGCUGAGGCACGAAAGCGUGGGUAUCGAACAGG